ACAAACUUGGUCAUUUAGAGGAAGUAAAAGUCGUAACAAGGUCAUCGUAGGUGAACCUGCGGUGGGAUCAUCAAAAGAACCAAAUCUUUUCUGCGGAUCUGCUGCCCGCAAGGGCGCGUUUCUGCACCUUUUGUGAACCUUCCAUGGCUCUUUCAGCCGGGUCCGCCUGGUUGGGAGAUGCCGUGAACAUGUGUUGCUGCCAGUUUAGUGCUGGCAGCAAUUUUCUAUACAAAACUCAAUUAAAACUGAUAAUGUAUACUGCUGAAACCUGACUAGUGUAUUCUGGUCUAAUAGUUAAUACAACUAUCAAUGGUGGAUCACUUGGCUCUUGCAUCGAUGAAGAACGCAGC
rnacentral:misc_RNA from 1 species